CAGAUAAUAGCACUUGCUUUGGCAGAAGGAACCACACGGAGAAGAUUAGCAUGGAUCCUGCACAAGGAUGACUCCCAAAUUCAUGAAGUGUUCUGUAUUUUA